UACCAGCACCCCGAGUGGUCGGGACGUUUAUUGGGCCUAAAGCAUCCGUAGCCGGUUCUACAAGUCUUCCGUUAAAUCCGGCUGCUUAACAGAUGGGCUGCGGAAGAUACUAUGGAGCUAGGAGGCGGGAGAGGCAAGCGGUACUCGAUGGGUAGGGGUAAAAUCCGUUGAUCCAUUGAAGACCACCAGUGGCGAAGGCGGCUUGCCAGAACGCGCUCGACGGUGAGGGAUGAAAGCUGGGGGAGCAAACCGG
rnacentral:rRNA from 1 species